GCGGACGUGGCGAAAUUGGUAGACGCACGGGACUUAAAAUCCCUCGCUGGCAACGGCAUGCGGGUUCGAGUCCCGCCGUCCGCACCA
rnacentral:tRNA from 1 species